rnacentral:rRNA from 1 species
GUGCCAGCAGCCGCGGUAAUACGUAGGGGGCAAGCGUUGUCCGGAAUUAUUGGGCGUAAAGCGCGCGCAGGCGGCAGGGAAAGUCUUGUGUCAAAGACCGGAGCUCAACUCCGGGUUGCAUGGGAAACUGCCUUGCUUGAGUGUAGGAGAGGGAAGUGGAAUUCCACGUGUAGCGGUGAAAUGCGUAGAGAUGUGGAGGAACACCAGUGGCGAAGGCGACUUUCUGGCCUAUAACUGACGCUGAGGCGCGAAAGCGUGGGGAGCAAACAGGAUUAGAUACCCUGGUAGUCC